rnacentral:rRNA from 1 species
CGCUUAUGCAUGCAAGUCGAGCGUGAUCGUGGCUUCGGCCACAAUGAUAAAGCGGCAGACGGCUGAGUAACGCGUGAGUAAUCUGCCCUCCGGUGGGGUAUAGCCUCGGGAAACUGAGGAUAAUCCCGCAUACGACCCGCAUCCCUUGGGGUGCCGGUGAAAGGCUUCGGCCGCCGGAAGAGGAGCUCGCGUCCUAUCAGGUUGUUGGUGAGGUAAUGGCUCACCAAGCCGAUGACGGGUAGCUGGUCUGAGAGGAUGAUCAGCCACACUGGGACUGAGACACGGCCCAGACUCCUACGGGAGGCAGCAGUGGGGAAUAUUGGACAAUGGGCGAAAGCCUGAUCCAGCAAUGCCGCGUGAGUGAAGAAGGCCUUAGGGUUGUAAAGCUCUUUCACCGGGGAAGAUCGUGACGGUACCCGGAGAAGAAGCCCCGGCUAACUCCGUGCCAGCAGCCGCGGUAAUACGGAGGGGGCUAGCGUUGUUCGGAAUUACUGGGCGUAAAGCGCGCGUAGGCGGCCCGCCUAGUUGGGCGUGAAAGCCCGGGGCUUAACCCCGGAAUUGCGUUCAAAACUGGCGAGCUAGAGACCGGAAGAGGAGAGUGGAAUUCCCAGUGUAGAGGUGAAAUUCGUAGAUAUUGGGAAGAGCACCAGUGGCGAAGGCGGCUCUCUGGUCCGGUACUGACGCUGAGGCGCGAAAGCGUG